GUGCUUCCUUCAGCAGCACAUAUACUAAAAAUUGGAACGAUACAGAGAAGAUUAGCAUGGCUCCUGCGCAAGGAUGACACGCAAAUUCAUGAAGGGCGAAAACUCCGU
ensembl:snRNA U6 U6 spliceosomal RNA